AAGAGGGGGGGCGUGCUUACACAUGCAAGUCGAACGGUGAUGGGGAGCUUGCUUCUCUGAUCAGUGGCGAACGGGUGAGUAACACGUGAGCAAUCUGCCCUUGACUCUGGGAUAAGCGUUGGAAACGACGUCUAAUACCGGAUACGACCUUGGAAGGCAUCUUCUGGGGUGGAAAGAAUUUUGGUCAAGGAUGAGCUCGCGGCCUAUCAGCUAGUUGGUGAGGUAAUGGCUCACCAAGGCGACGACGGGUAGCCGGCCUGAGAGGGUGACCGGCCACACUGGGACUGAGACACGGCCCAGACUCCUACGGGAGGCAGCAGUGGGGAAUAUUGCACAAUGGGCGAAAGCCUGAUGCAGCAACGCCGCGUGAGGGACGACGGCCUUCGGGUUGUAAACCUCUUUUAGUAGGGAAGAAGCGUAAAAGUGACGGUACCUGCAGAAAAAGCACCGGCUAACUACGUGCCAGCAGCCGCGGUAAUACGUAGGGUGCAAGCGUUGUCCGGAAUUAUUGGGCGUAAAGAGCUCGUAGGCGGUUUGUCGCGUCUGCUGUGAAAACCCGAGGCUCAACCUCGGGCCUGCAGUGGGUACGGGCAGACUAGAGUGCGGUAGGGGAGAUUGGAAUUCCUGGUGUAGCGGUGGAAUGCGCAGAUAUCAGGAGGAACACCAAUGGCGAAGGCAGAUCUCUGGGCCGUAACUGACGCUGAGGAGCGAAAGCAUGGGGAGCGAACAGGAUUAGAUACCCUGGUAGUCCAUGCCGUAAACGUUGGGAACUAGAUGGUGGGGGACCAUUCCACGGUCUCCGUGUCGCAGCUAACGCAUUAAGUUCCCCGCCUGGGGAGUACGGCCGCAAGGGCUAAAACUCAAGGAGUUGACGGGGGCCCGCACAAGCGGCGGAGCAUGCGGAUUAAUUCGAUGCAACGCGGAGAAGCUUUACCAAGGCUUGACAUAUACCGGAAACCUGCAAAAUGUAAGCCGCCGCAAGGUCGGUAGUACAGUGGUGCAUGGUUGUCGUCAGCUCGUGUUCUUGAGAUGUUUGAUAAGUACACACAACGAGCGCAAACCCUCGUCUAGUCUGCCACACCUGACUGGUGGACUCAUGGGAUACUUGCGGGAUCAGCUCGAGUACUUGGGAUGACGUCAGAUCAUCAUUCCGUUAUGUCUUGCCUCGGCAUGUGCUACAUGCGUCAGGGCUGCUAACCAGGUUGACCACUCCAUGAGAGCGGAACUCAAG
rnacentral:rRNA from 1 species